UAGAUACAGAACCAAUACACCAUCUGUUAACCGCAGGUGGUGUAAAAAAGGUGAUUCAUAGUAACCGAACGGAUCGCAUUAUGGUCAUUUUAUAUGGCUGGCGAUAGAUCAUUCAAGUUUCUGACCUAUCAGCUUUCGACGGUAGUGUAUUGGACUACCGUGGCAGUGACGGGUAACGGGGAAUUAGGGUUCGAUUCCGGAGAGGGAGCCUGAGAAACGGCUACCACAUCUAAGGAAGGCAGCAGGCGCGCAAAUUACCCAAUCCUGACUCAGGGAGGUAGUGACAAGAAAUAACAACACUGGAAAUUUUAUUUCUAGUGAUUGGAAUGAUGGGAAUUUAAACCCCUUUCAGAGUAACAAUUGGAGGGCAAGUCUGGUGCCAGCAGCCGCGGUAAUUCCAGCUCCAAUAGCGUAUAUUAAAGUUGUUGCAGUUAAAAAGCUCGUAGUUGGAUGUCUGCUGGAAGCAAUCAGUCCGCCCUAUUUGUAGGGUGUGCACUUGAUGAAUUCUGGCAUCUAUGUCCCAAUAAUAUGAUGGUGUAUAUACCCUGUGUAUAUUCCAUCUAUAUUGGGAUAAUACCGUUACUUUGAGAAAAUUAGAGUGUUUGAAGCAGGCUAAUUGCCUUGAAUACUGCAGCAUGGAAUAACAAUAUAGGAUUUCGGUUCUAUUUUGUUGGUUUCUAGGACUGAAAUAAUGAUUAAUAGGGACAGUUGGGGGCAUUCGUAUUU
rnacentral:rRNA from 1 species